rnacentral:rRNA from 1 species
UACAGAGGUCCCGAGCGUUGUUCGGAUUCACUGGGCGUAAAGGGUGCGUAGGCGGUCGGGUAAGUCCGACGUGAAAUCUUCAAGCUCAACUUGGAAACUGCGUCGGAUACUAUUCGGCUAGAGGAAUGGAGGGGAGACUGGAAUACUUGGUGUAGCAGUGAAAUGCGUAGAUAUCAAGUGGAACACCAGUGGCGAAGGCGAGUCUCUGGACAUUUCCUGACGCUGAGGCACGAAAGCCAGGGGAGCAAACGGG